rnacentral:rRNA from 1 species
UACGGGGGGGGCAAGCGUUGUUCGGAAUUACUGGGCGUAAAGGGCGCGUAGGCGGUCAGACCAAGUCGAGUGUGAAAUUCCAGGGCUUAACUCUGGCGCGCUCGCUCGAUACUGGUCGGCUAGAGUGUGGAAGAGGAUGCUGGAAUUCCCGGUGUAGCGGUGAAAUGCGUAGAUAUCGGGAAGAACACCAGUGGCGAAGGCGGCUCACUGGUCCGGUACUGACGCUGAGGUGCGAAAGCGUGGGGAGCAAACAGG